UUGGUGAUGGGAUACCAGUCUCUGUGGAGCUAUUUCACUGGUGACCUCAGCCAGUUCAGGAACUGAACCCACACUCUUAAAAUCACGCUGCAUCACAGAUCAACUGUCCAGCUAACCAGCUCUCCUUUACCCUGGUGUAAUUCUGGUGGAUCUCAAUGCAGCCCCUCCACAACUAAUAGAUCCUUGCGAUGAUGAGAUGCUUGGAACUAAGCCAGUAUUCCAAUGGGCCCAGCAGUGUUCACUCUAAUCUAUCUCCCAUCACCUCUUUGUUAUUCAGUCCCCUUGACGUAAAGGCCAACUUUCCAUUAGCUAUUUUAAUCAUUUUUCUACCUGAACAGCAGCUGAUAUUGAUUUCUCUACAAGGACCUCCUAUUGUUGUUGCCUCCUCCACAAUUCUUGGUCUCUCGCUAUUUCUAAUAUCCAAUUUUUUUGUGUGAAUUGGAUGCUCCCGCCCUUCCUCACAUUAAAAUCUGUUUGCCACUGUUUUUCCUCCAUUCACCUAAUCGAUCAAUGUCCCUUUGCAGCAUUCUGCUUCCCCACCUCACUGGUUGUAGUCAGCAAAUUUGUAUAUAUGGCUUUCUAUUCCUUUAUCAAUGUCCGUUGAAAAUAUUGUGAAACGCUGAGGUCCCAGGGCAAAUUACUCUGGUGUUCUACCAGCAAAGGGCUGCCCUCCAUUUUGAAGCCAGAACGACUAAUCCUGCCCUCUCCUUCCGACUUCUGAACCAUUUCUCUGCCCAUGCAAUCUUGAAGUUGUAUAUUCUCAUGGGAUUGGAUCUAACUGUGAGGUUCCCUGCUGGUAUUCCUACCUUUCCGAAUCAUUUGUCCCUCUGUACAUUUACGCAGUGAGUGAUCCUUGCAGUGAGUAAAAGGUGAAGUUGACGUAGUCCCACAGAAUGAUGGGAGUUUAACCUGAGAGUCAGCAUGCCUCAGGGCAGGGGUGAGAUUGAGAAGGCAGGAUCUUCAUGGUGAUCUCAACUAGUACAGGAACUAAACCCACACCACACUGGCACAAUGCGUUGCAAACCAACCAUCCGGCCAACCGACCCCCACUGAAUCAGUCGUAACUUUCUACAAUUACACAGUAAGUUACAACAGGGCGGCUACAGGGAGGGAGAAUGUAAAAGUUACAUGAUCUCUGGUAGAGGGCGAGAUUUCUUUCCAUGAGCUCGACUCAUUUUCCAAUAAAGAAACUUAUCAAAGUUCUAAAUAUGGGACAGAAUUGAAUCCAGCCCUAAUUCUGCACAUCUGAUGCCUCUUUCUCAAGCUGCCUUCUGUUAUUACCAAAUCCUUCCUGAUCCAUGGACUUCAGAGUCAUUAUGUUUAUCAGCAGGGUAAGGAUUACCCACUGUGUAAUUGUACAGAGGAGUAGAGAAUUCAGCAGGUUAACUCUCACUGACUGUGAAACUGUAUAGAAAUGCUGAGAAUCCAGCUGAAUAUAGAUUCUUCACUGUGCAAUCGCUCACAGCUACUAUUCAUUCAAUAGGCUAAGUAUUAAUCAAUAUGUAACUGUAUGGAGUUAUUACUAAUUCAGCAGGGUAAGGGUCACUCUCUGUGUAACAGGCUGGAGGUAUGGAGAAUUCAGCAGGGUAAGGGUCACUCACUGUGUAACAGGCUGGAGGUGUCCAGAAUUCAGCAGGGAAAGGGUCAUUCAUUGUGUGACUAUCUGGAGGUGUGCAGAAUUCAGCAGGAUAAGGGUCACUCACUGUGUAACAGGCUGAAGGUGCGCAAAAUUCAGCAGGGUAAGGGUCACUCACUGUGUGACUAUCUGGAGAUUUGGAGAAUUCAGCAGGGUAAGGGUCACUCGCUGUGUGACUAUCUGGAGGUGUGGAGAAUUCAGCAGGGUAAGGGUCACUUGCUGUGUGACUAUCUGGAGGUGUGGAGAAUUCAGCAGGAUAGCGGCUGUUGUAAUGUUUAAUUCUUGCAGAUGUGUGAAAACAGAAGACAUUUUCUGAAUCAGGCCAGCUGUGGGUGAAGGGUGAAGGAUGGGAAGGGGGUGUUGUAUUAGUUCAGGAACAUAUUGGAAGAGUGGAAAUUGGAUUAGUUCCUUCAUGAAGAGUGAGGACCACAAGGAGAUUAGUGAACGACUGUCGUAUGAGCUUGGA